rnacentral:rRNA from 1 species
AGCAGCAGCCGCGGGAAUACGUAGGUGGCGAGCGUUGUCCGGAAUUAUUGGGCGUAAAGGGAGCGCAGGCGGACAUAUAAGUCCAUCUUAAAAGUGCGGGGCUCAACCCCGUGGGGGGAUGGAAACUGUAUGCCUUGAGUGCAGGAGAGGAAAGCGGAAUUCCCAGUGUAGCGGUGAAAUGCGUAGAUAUUGGGAGGAACACCAGUGGCGAAGGCGGCUUUCUGGACUGCAACUGACGCUGAGGCUCGAAAGCCAGGGGAGCGAACGGGAUUAGAGACCCCUGUAGUCCCUGUCUCUUAUACA